GAUUUUUUUAAAUAUUCAUUUAAAAUACUUUUGGGAGUUUUAAACAUAAAAUAAUCACUUGGCAGCAUGUUUUAGGACCUAAUAUGAACGUCAGCGGUCAACUGCAAGAGAGCGCUGAUAUUGGAACCUUUGUAUAACGGAAGCAGGAAAUCGUAGUACGGUCCUUAUUUCCGGUUGCGGAUCCGGCGCAUGGGACGCUUGUGUUAGUCGUGUUGGCUUCCAGCGGGCGUUCAAGUAAGAAAAUUGGCAUGGUGGCUACAUCUGAUUGAUUUAAAUGGUCUGCCAUCAGAAAACGCUGGUUCGAUUUCAGCGGCAACACCAUGUUUUCCACGGAUUUAAUACCGGAAGAAGAAACGAGACUGAAGAUAGUAUGCAGCUUCCUGAUUACUGCUAAAGAAAUAGUUUACACACUGUAUUAUAGAAAUUAAAUACUGAAGGAAAUAGUGAACCUGCAGAUUAGAAGAACACGUCGUUGUGCCACGUUAGCACAAACAAACGGGUUUUCCUUAAAAGCAGCUACAAAGUAGUCACUCUUACAGUGCAAAGUCUGUUGCACAACUAAAUGUUUACACAUCACUAUCAUCAGUAACAGUACAAACUCAAUGUUUUAAACAUUUCAUCACUACAUAAAGGCCUUUGUUUGUCAGAACAGCUCAGGGGUCAAGCACAAUUGAAA